GACGAACGCUGGCGGCGUGCUUAACACAUGCAAGUCGAACGGAAAGGCCCAGCUUGCUGGGUGCUCGAGUGGCGAACGGGUGAGUAACACGUGGGUGAUCUGCCCCUAACUUCGGGAUAAGCUUGGGAAACUGGGUCUAAUACCGGAUAGGACAAUCGUUUAGUGUCGGUUGUGGAAAGUUUUUUCGGUUAGGGAUGAGCCCGCGGCCUAUCAGCUUGUUGGUGGGGUAAUGGCCUACCAAGGCGUCGACGGGUAGCCGGCCUGAGAGGGUGGACGGCCACAUUGGGACUGAGAUACGGCCCAGACUCCUACGGGAGGCAGCAGUGGGGAAUACUGCACAAUGGGCGCAAGCCUGAUGCAGCGACGCCGCGUGGGGGAUGACGGCCUUCGGGUUUUAAACCUCUUUCGACAGGGACGAAGCUUUGGUGACGGUACCUGUAUAAGAAGCACCGGCUAACUACGUG
rnacentral:rRNA from 1 species